AUCGAACGCUGGCGGCAGGCCUAACACAUGCAAGUCGAGCGGAGCGGCGGACGGGGGAGUGACGCCGAGGAAUCUGCCCGGUAGUGGCGGAUAAAGUCCGGAAACGGUCGUUAUUACCGCAUGCUAUCAGGUGAGCCUAGGUCGGCUUAGCUAGUUGGCGCGGUAAAGGCCUACCAAGGCGACGAUUCGUAACUGGUCUGAGAGGAUGAUCAGUCACACUGGAACUGAGACACGGUCCAGACUCCUACGGGAGGAAGCAGUAGGGAAUAUUAGGCAAUGGGCGAAAGCCUGAUCCAGCCAUGCCGCGUGUGUGAAGAAGGUCUUCGGAUAGUAAAGCUCUUUAGGUUGGGAGGCGGUACCAACAGAAAAAGCACCGGCUAACUUCGUGCCAGCCGCCGCGGUAAUUC
rnacentral:rRNA from 1 species